AAACAAAGAGGAAGACCGCACCGGAAGGAAAAAACUACAAGUCCCAGCAUCCUCUGUGUUUAGGGAGCAGGAGUGAAAGUGAAAGCAGGAGGAGGAAGGUGGAGCUGAGGCAGACUAACUCCACCCUGACAUCAAGAAGAUGGAGGAAGAGGAUGGAGCAGCAUCUGCAGCAUCCAGCUGUGUGUCUGUGAGGAGUGACCGGUCCAAAGAAGAACCUCCAAAGUUCAGUAAUGAACCUGCAGCAACAAUAGCUUCUGCACAGUGUGGAGAAAGACCCAGAAGCAGAGCUGGACUGCAGACAGCCAG